AAUAAAGUGCCUGAAAAAGGAUUAUUCUGAUAGGAUAAAUCAUGUAAAUUAAUUACCUUUAUUA
rnacentral:tRNA from 1 species